rnacentral:rRNA from 1 species
UACAGAGGGGGCAAGCGUUGUUCGGAAUUACUGGGCGUAAAGGGCGCGUAGGCGGCCUUCUAAGUCGAACGUGAAAUCCCCGGGCUCAACCCGAGAACUGCGUCCGAUACUGGAAGGCUUGAAUCCGGGAGAGGGAUGUGGAAUUCCAGGUGUAGCGGUGAAAUGCGUAGAUAUCUGGAGGAACACCGGUGGCGAAGGCGACAUCCUGGACCGGUAUUGACGCUGAGGCGCGAAAGCCAGGGGAGCAAACGGG